UACGGAGGGUGCGAGCGUUGUCCGGAAUCACUGGGCGUAAAGGGCGCGUAGGCGGCCUGAUAAGUAGGGGGUGAAAUCCUGCGGCUUAACCGCAGGGCUGCCUUCUAAACUGUCAGGCUGGAGCACAGUAGAGGCAGGUGGAAUUCCAGGUGUAGCGGUGAAAUGCGUAGAUAUCUGGAGGAACACCGGUGGCGAAGGCGGCAUCCUGGACCAAUAUUGACGCUGAGGAGCGAAAGCCAGGGGAGCAAACGGG
rnacentral:rRNA from 1 species